GACGAACGCUGGCGGCGUGCUUAACACAUGCAAGUCGAACGGAAAGGCCCUGCUUUUGUGGGGUGCUCGAGUGGCGAACGGGUGAGUAACACGUGAGUAACCUGCCCUUGACUUUGGGAUAACUUCAGGAAACUGGGGCUAAUACCGGAUAGGAGCUCCUGCUGCAUGGUGGGGGUUGGAAAGUUUCGGCGGUUGGGGAUGGACUCGCGGCUUAUCAGCUUGUUGGUGGGGUAGUGGCUUACCAAGGCUUUGACGGGUAGCCGGCCUGAGAGGGUGACCGGCCACACUGGGACUGCGAUACGCCCCAGCCGCCUACGGGAGGCAGCGGUGGGGAAUAUUGCACAAUGGGCCGAAGCCUGAUACAGCAGCGCCCCGUGCGGGAUGACGGCCUUCGGGUUGUAAACCGCUUUCGCCUGUGACGAAGCGUGAGUGACGGUAAUGGGUAAAGAAGCACCGGCUAACUACGUG
rnacentral:rRNA from 1 species